rnacentral:rRNA from 1 species
GAAUAUUGGACAAUGGGCGAAAGCCUGAUCCAGCCAUGCCGCGUGUGUGAAGAAGGUCUUCGGGUUGUAAAGCACUUUCGCUUGGGAAGAAAGGGUGCGUGUUAAUAGCACGUACCUGUGACAUUACCUUGAGAAGAAGCACCGGCUACCUCCGUGCCAGCAGCCGCGGUAAUACGGAGGGUGCGAGCGUUAAUCGGAAUUACUGGGCGUAAAGCGCGCGUAGGCGGUUUGUUAAGUUGGAUGUGAAAGCCCCGGGCUCAACCUGGGAAUGGCACCCGAUACUGGCCGACUAGAGUACGAGAGAGGGAGGUAGAAUUCCACGUGUAGCGGUGAAAUGCGUAGAUAUGUGGAGGAAUACCGGUGGCGAAGGCGGCCUCCUGGCUCGAUACUGACGCUGAGGUGCGAAAGCGUGGGGAGCAAACAGG